rnacentral:rRNA from 1 species
UACGAAGGGGGCUAGCGUUGCUCGGAAUCACUGGGCGUAAAGCGCACGUAGGCGGAUUGCUAAGUCAGGGGUGAAAUCCUGGAGCUCAACUCCAGAACUGCCUUUGAUACUGGCGGUCUCGAGUCCGGGAGAGGUGAGUGGAACUGCGAGUGUAGAGGUGAAAUUCGUAGAUAUUCGCAAGAACACCAGUGGCGAAGGCGGCUCACUGGCCCGUUACCGACGCUCAGGCGCGACAGCGUGGGGAGCAAACAGG